AACGAACGCUGGCGGCAGGCCUAACACAUGCAAGUCGAGCGCCCUAGCAAUAGAGAGCGGCGCACGGGUGAGUAACGCGUAGGAAUCUACCGUGUAGUACGGAACAACAGUUGGAAACGACUGCUAAUACCGUAUACGACCUUCGGGGGAAAGAAUUUCGCUAUAAGAUGGGCCUGCGUUAGAUUAGCUAGUUGGUGAGGUAAUGGCUCACCAAGGCGCCGAUCUAUAGCUGGUCUGAGAGGAUGACCAGCCACACUGGGACUGAGACACGGCCCAGACUCCUACGGGAGGCAGCAGGGGGGAAUAUUGGGCAAUGGGCGCAAGCCUGACCCAGCCAUGCCGCGUGAGGGAUGACGGACUUAGGUUUGUAAAGCUCUUUUAGUGGGGAGGAUGAUGACGGUAACCGCAGAAAAAGCCCCGGCUAACUUCGUGCCAGCAGCCGCCGUAA
rnacentral:rRNA from 1 species